CACACAUAUAUAUAUCUGUAUAUAUAUAUAUAUAUGUGUGUGUGUGUGUGUGAGAGUGUGUGUGUAAUGGUUGUCUGCAAGAAACACCUUUAAUUAAUCACAGCCAACCCUCAAAUAAUACGCAUAGUAUAGGACCCUUACAAUGCUACACUCCCAACUCUUCUCCCCACCCACCUUUUGUUUUCUUUCCUUCCACGGAUUCUGUGACAUCUUCCUCUCCUCAUUGACUCUGCAUGAAGGGGAUUCCUGGUGGGGGAAGGGUAGCUGGUGAGAAAUGAGGUAUCAAGAAACUAGCAAAGCAUCUUCUGGCUGUCUGUGGACAGUUCUUGUGUGGUCCCCAGCCUAGUCUCAAGGGUUCUGGGCUGGUCACCCUGCAGCCUCUGUGCUGUGUCACCAGAUUCGGGCUCUGAGGGAAGGGCCCUGGGAGGCCCAACAGAGCGGGGUGCCUUGUCUAACAUCCCCCCGUUCCUCUGGCUGUGUGGCUCAGGAAUAGGCCCAGACAGUGUGUCCAGGUGGUGCCAGGUCACCUCACUGCCCCCUUUGAGAUGGGCCCAGAGGGUUUUGUGGGGUGAGCAUGAAGCUGGGCACCCAAAGCCUGGGGCCGAGUGCCCCUCCCUGUGUCCCAGAGGAGGGGCCCUGACCUGAGAAGAUCCCCAGUGCCUGGCUUAUGGGUGCCAAUGUGGGGAGGGGUGGCUCUGAGGACUGAAGCGGGUCACUGAAAGAAGACAUUGAGCUCCAUGGCUCAGGGACCUUGGCAGUAGAGGCCUGGUAAGCAGAGACUAGGACACUGGGACUUGGUCACAAAAAAUAUGAUCAGAAAGGGCAUGGCCAUCAGAGAGUUGGUCAGGCGGCCUGGUCAUUGAGGGACUGUCAGUGAGGACCUGGUCACUGGGUGCUUGGUCAAUGGGUCUUGGUCAGUGGGGACCUGGUAAGUGGAGAUCUGAUUACUGGGGGCUUGGUCAUCAAGAGCCUGGUCAGUCAGGACCUGGUCAGUGAGGACCUGGUCAGUGAAGGACUUGUGGGGGGGCAUUGGUCAGCAGCGGCCUUGUCGGGGGAGGCUUGGUCAGUGGGGGCCUAGUUAGUGGGGUCCUGGCCAGCCGGCUGCUGGGUGACCUCAUGCAGGGGUUUGUCCUUGGAGCUUGCUUGCCGCCAUCUGUAGUGGGGAUGAGUCACAUCACCCCAGAGGGCUACUGGGAGGAGGAGAUGAGCAGGUGUGUGGAAUCCGGCCCUGCCCAACAGACCUAGCACUUUACACCCUAGCUGAGUCCCCUGCUAAAGAGGGGGCCUGCUCUCUGCCCUCCACCCUCAAUUCUCUGCUCCCCGUCCACAGGACUGCCCCACCUAGGGAGGGCUGAGGUUGGGGAACACCUGUGGACACUCUGAUGCUGGCCACAGGCCCAGGGCCGGGCGUGACAGUGACAAGGACCUGAGUGCGUACAUGAAUGGGGCCACCUGGCCCAGCCACAGAAGCAACACACCAUAUGCACGUGUUCACCCACAUAUAUGUGCACGCUCACAUUUACAAACACACUGCAUGCACACAUGUUGAUGCUUCGGGGGUGGAGGACGGUGACUGUGGGCCCUGCUGACCCAGGCGGGGGCCCAUUGUGAUGGGUGCCGUGAUCCCGUAAUGUCACUGGUGCUGAGUACCCACCCGCCUACCUGGCUGCCUUCUCUGUGUCUGGAGCUCUUAGAGACAAGAUAAACAGCGAUGUCUGGUUCUGCUCAGAGGAGGCUUUCUUAAGUGAGAGGCACAGUUGGAUCAGCAGACUCAGCUGAGUGUGACCUGCUCUGUUCCCUCCCUGCUGACCUGGGACAGUCGCUACCAGGCAGUGCUGGCCUCUGGGCGGGUGCCGAGGAGGGUCAUCCCUGAGCACUCACCAGGUAGGUGCCUGUUCUGCACUGACGGUAUAGAUGUUCGUCUUGUUGGUCGUCACAGUGACGCUGGUGGGGGUGGGUGCUGUCCCCUAAUGUACCCAUUCCACAGGUGAGAUGUCUAGGGUCAGAGAGGCAGCGACUGGUCCAGAGACCCAGAUGUGACCCUGGGCCAUGCUCUUAGCCCUGCCCUGUGCUACGCUGGACUCAAGCCCUGACCUCUGUGGCCUCCCUGCCCUGGAUUCCAAAUCCAUCCGGGGUUCCAGCCCCUGAUGGGGCAGAGUCUGGCCCUGGAAGAGCCACUGGGACAGAGAUCCUAUGGGUGAGGUGGAGGGGGUGGUCCUCAGUCCAAGUCUGUGCCCUAAGCUGGGACCCCGCGGGAGGUCUCACCAACUCAGACUUCACAUGUGGUCACUGAGGGUCAUUGUGGGACCCACUGGACACAGGGGGUCCCUUGUCUGGGAGUGGGGUGAAGAGCCUUCUGCCCUUGGGCAGUUAGGUAGGGGACUUUGAGCACUGCUGCUUUGGGACCUGGGAAGUGGGGACCUGGGCAGCGGGGUCCUCGUCAUUGAGAACAUGGUCAGUGAGAGAUUUGGUCAUCAUGGGUUGGGUCAGGGGGGCCUGGUCAGCAGAGACUUGGACACUGGGGCUUAGUGAAAAUAUGAUCAGUGGGGAAAUAGUCACGGGGCCUGCUCAGUAGGGCCUGGCUAGCAGAGGCCUGGCCAGCUGGCCACUGGAUGACCUGACAGGGGGUUUGUCCUUGGAGCCUCUUUGCCUCUAUUCAUAGUGGGGAUGAGUCAUAGCAUCCCUCAGCACUCGCCAGGUGCAGGUUUUGUGCUGACCUUGUAGAUGGCCUUUUCCUUCAUCCCCACAGCAACUCCAUGGGGCGGAUCCUGUCCCCGAAUGUAGCCAUUCCACAGGUGAGAUGUCUAGAGUCAGAGAGGUGAUGACUGGCCCAGAGACCCAGAUGUGGCCUGGGCCGUGCACUCAGCCCUGCCCUGUGCAGUGCUAGACUCAAGCCCUGACCUUUGCAGCCUCCCUGCCUUAGAUCCCACAUUUCCCUGGGGUUCUGGACCCUGAUGGGGUGGAGGGGGUGAUUCUCAGUCCAAGUCUGUGCCCAAAGCUUGGUCCCCACAGGAGGAGGUCUCAUCAACUCAGACUUCAGGUGCGGUCACUGAUGGUUGCUGUGGGACCCACUGGACACAUGGAGUCCUUCGUCUGGGAGUGGGGUGGGGAGGCCUCUGCCCUCGGGCAGUUGUGGAAAAUGAAGGAGCUCUAGAGGGCUGCCUGGAGGGUGAUGAUCGUCCCUCUUGGUCAAAGGGGCUUGGGGACUGGAACCUUCUCUGUCUGAUUCUCUAGAGGUCUUGUCUUCCCUUUGUCCCAAGUAUUCCCAAGGAAGAUGGUCCCCCUGGGUGUUCUCCAGGACCAAGUCCCCAGAAUUCUCUUGUUUUUUCCUUGGUGAUCCAGGAAAACGAAGCCCCCUCCUGUAUUGACAGCUGGGAAUUGUGGAGUCCACCGUCCUCCACCUGAGACGAGCACAGGGUCUCCACGAGGACAGAGGCUGCUUUGGACUCAAUAGAAAACUGGGCAUCUUCAUGGUCCUAGAAGGAUCCCAGGAGGCUGAUCCUAUAGAGACGUCUGGUUCCUGACCCCAACUGCCUCCAGGUGCCUGGAACAGCCCAUCGUGGGCCCUUUACCCUCAGCAGGUGGACGCCGUUGGUCCUGCCAGGGAUGGAGAUGGAUGAGCACCCGGAUAUCCUGCCCACCCAGGGGCAAGGCAACAUCAUCAUUACUAAGUAUGAGCAGGGACGCUGAGCUGGGGCAGCAGUGGACACAGAGCAUGAGCGUGUUGACAUCUGGAAAUUCACCAGUCGUCUCUGGGUUGUGUGUGAGACAGAGCUGCCCGUGUCAGUGCCCUGGAGGUGAAGGGAAGAGCCUGUGCCUGCUGCGUGGGAGACUGGUCCAGGGACAGGGAAUCAGGAGUGGUUGGUGAGACAGAGGGGGUGGCCUGCGGGCCCGGGCGGUGGUAAGUGGGCCAGGGCUGUCCCUGGGAGGGGCGGCCUUUCCUGACGGACUCUGUUCCCAUGAGCAUUUGACCAAAACCCAAAUCAAGAACCACAGUCUUGGCUCAGAGGUCACUGCCUGUUUGUACCAAGUCCCCAGCUAAGGGCCAGGACCUGACCAAAACUCGGGGUGUCUGUGGCCUGAGGAUGGUGUGUCCUGGCAUGACCAGUCCAGACCACCAGCUCCAGUUAGUUCAGAGGGUCUCAGCCCCCGGGCUCUGCUCUUUCCUUGCUCCUUCAGGGCCCCAAAGCCCAGGACCCAGCAUCCAUGGGCCGCUGCCGGAGGCCUGGCAGCUCCGCUAACUCCAUCAUGGCUCAUUUGACAGCAAAGGUGUCAGGAAAUAAAAUGUACUGACAAGUGGCUGAAGAUGCUUGGAGACUGGCCAAAAUAUAAGAACAGCAAGAAGGUGACAUGGCGGUUGGGCCUGGUAGCUCAGGCCUGUAACCCCAGCACUUCGGGAGGCUGAGGUGGGCGGAUCACCUGAGGUCAGGAGU
rnacentral:lncRNA from 1 species